UGAACGCUGGCGGCGUGCUUAACACAUGCAAGUCGUACGAGAAAGCUUCAGCUUGCUGAAGCGAGUAAAGUGGCGCACGGGUGAGUAACGCGUGGGUAAUCUACCUUCGAGGUGGGGAUAACAUUGCGAAAGCGAUGCUAAUACCGAAUAAUAUGACAUUGUCCUCGGACAUUGUCAUCAACGAUGGCCUCUACAUGUAAGCUAUUGCUUGAAGAUGAGCCCGCGUCCCAUUAGCUUGUUGGCAGGGUAACGGCCUACCAAGGCAACGAUGGGUAGCUGGUCUGAGAGGAUGAUCAGCCACACUGGAACUGACACACGGUCCAGACUCCUACGGGAGGCAGCAGUGAGGAAUUUUGCGCAAUGGGCGAAAGCCUGACGCAGCAACGCCGCGUGAGUGAUGAAGGCCCUCGGGUCGUAAAGCUCUGUCAAGUGGGAAGAAACCGGUUCGUGCCAAUACCACGUUCCGCUGACGGUACCACUGAAGGAAGCACCGGCUAACUCC
rnacentral:rRNA from 1 species